rnacentral:rRNA from 1 species
ACGCUGGCGGCAGGCUUAACACAUGCAAGUCGAACGGUAACAGGGAUUAGCUUGCUAAUCUGCUGACGAGUGGCGGACGGGUGAGUAAUGCUUGGGAAUCUGGCUUAUGGAGGGGGAUAACUACGGGAAACUGUAGCUAAUACCGCGUAAAAUCUUCGGAUUAAAGGGUGGGACUUUCGAGCCACCUGCCAUAAGAUGAGCCCAAGUGGGAUUAGGUAGUUGGUUAGGUAAAGGCUGACCAAGCCGACGAUCUCUAGCUGGUCUGAGAGGAUGACCAGCCACACUGGAACUGAGACACGGUCCAGACUCCUACGGGAGGCAGCAGUGGGGAAUAUUGCACAAUGGGGGGAACCCUGAUGCGGCCAUGCCGCGUGAAUGAAGAAGGCCUUCGGGUUGUAAAGUUCUUUCGGUGACGAGGAAGGUUGAUAGGUUAAUAGCCUAUCAAAUUGACGUUAAUCACAGAAGAAGCACCGGCUAACUCCGUGCCAGCAGCCGCGGUAAUACGGGGGGUGCGAGCGUUAAUCGGAAUAACUGGGCGUAAAGGGCACGCAGGCGGUGACUUAAGUGAGAUGUGAAAGCCCCGAGCUUAACUUGGGAAUUGCAUUUCAUACUGGGUCGCUAGAGUACUUUAGGGAGGGGUAGAAUUCCACGUGUAGCGGUGAAAUGCGUAGAGAUGUGGAGGAAUACCGAAGGCGAAGGCAGCCCCUUGGGAAUGUACUGACGCUCAUGUGCGAAAGCGUGGGGAGCAAACAGGAUUAGAUACCCUGGUAGUCCACGCUGUAAACGAUGUCGAUUUGGGGAUUGGGCUUUGAGCUUGGUGCCCGUAGCUAACGUGAUAAAUCGACCGCCUGGGGAGUACGGCCGCAAGGUUAAAACUCAAAUGAAUUGACGGGGGCCCGCACAAGCGG